GACGAACGCCGGCGGCGUGCUUAUCACAUGCAAGUCGAGCGGAGCGGCGGACGGGAGAGUAAUGCCUAGGAAUCUGCCUGGUAGUGGGGGAUAACGUCCGGAAACGGGCGCUAAUACCGCAUACUAUCAGAUGAGCCUAGUUCGGAUUAGCUAGUUGGUGGGGUAAAGGCCUACCAAGGCGACGAUCCGUAACUGGUCUGCGAGGAUGAUCAGUCACACUGGAACUUGUACACGGUCCAGACUCCUACGGGAGGCAGAAGUGGUGAAUUGUGGACAAUGGGCGAAAGCCUGAGCCAGCCAUGCCGCGUGUGUGAAGAAGGUCUUCGGAUUGUAAAGCACUUUAAGUUGGGAGGCGUUACCAACAGAAUAAGCACCGGCUAACUUCGUGCCAGCAGCCGCGGUAAUAC
rnacentral:rRNA from 1 species